rnacentral:tRNA from 3 species
GCGAAGGUGACGGAAUUGGUAGACGCGCUAGCUUCAGGUGUUAGUGUUCUUACGGACGUGGGGGUUCAAGUCCCCCCCCUCGCACCA